rnacentral:rRNA from 1 species
UACGAAGGGGGCUAGCGUUGCUCGGAAUCACUGGGCGUAAAGGGUGCGUAGGCGGGUCUUUAAGUCAGGGGUGAAAUCCUGGAGCUCAACUCCAGAACUGCCUUUGAUACUGAGGAUCUUGAGUACGGGAGAGGUGAGUGGAACUGCGAGUGUAGAGGUGAAAUUCGUAGAUAUUCGCAAGAACACCAGUGGCGAAGGCGGCUCACUGGCCCGGCAUUGACGCUGAGGAGCGAAAGCCAGGGGAGCAAACGGG